rnacentral:hammerhead_ribozyme from 1 species
ACCCAACUGAUGAGUCCUAAAUAGAAUGAAACGCGCGUCCUGGAU